rnacentral:rRNA from 1 species
UUUUAUUUGAGAGUUUGAUCCUGGCUCAGGAUGAACGCUGGCGGCGUGCCUAACACAUGCAAGUUGAGCGAUUUACUUCGGUAAAGAGCGGCGGACGGGUGAGUAACGCGUGGGUAACCUACCCUGUACACACGGAUAACAUACCGAAAGGUAUGCUAAUACGGGAUAAUAUAUUUGAGAGGCAUCUCUUGAAUAUCAAAGGUGAGCCAGUACAGGAUGGACCCGCGUCUGAUUAGCUAGUUGGUAAGGUAACGGCUUACCAAGGCGACGAUCAGUAGCCGACCUGAGAGGGUGAUCGGCCACAU